UACACCUUAGCAUUAAAUAUAGCGCAACAUGUGAGCUUGUCACUCACAUGGUGAUUAACAUAAAGUUUGUUCGGUUUGAAUGAAAAAUAGUAGAUCAUUUGACGAAAUGAUUAGCUAGAAACUUGGUAACUAAGUCUGUUAAAAGGAUGAGUUUAAGGCCCAUUUGAAAUUUUUAAUUAAGGAAUACUCUAUUCUUCUUUAAUACAACGUUUGUGGUUGAAUUCAAUGUGGAAAGCCAAUACUUAAAUAUUGAAGCACAUGUAAGAAAAGUUCAUAACCGUUAUUUGGCGAUUUUUACUGCGACUGAUACACAACUUUUGAUUCUCGAUUUUUGGCCGUCGAAUUCGGCGUCGAUUGUUUCCAUUUAAUUUCCUUUUGUUUCUCUUUAAUCCUUUUUAUUUCUACACAAUUAGAUUUCUAAAUUAUUGCCAUUGAAACCAGAGAAAGAAGAAAUAAGUCGUUGAAAGGACAAUAAUGGUUACGAUUAUGGUCUUAUUGGACAAUGGUUUCAACAUGGUUUUCUACUUUUCCUUCUCGGCGGUGUUGGAGUUGUGCAGUGGUUCGUAAUUCUGGGUCCCUUCCAAACAUCAUCAACAGCAAAUCAGACACAUCAAAUGUCCGUAGAAGGUUUUAUCUCCAACAGUUUUGUUGGAAUUAUCUUUCCGACAUCAUGCGUCGAUUAUUUGCCAAAUCUAACAAUUAUUGUUAGUUUUGUUAUAUUCUCCGGUGGUUAUCAUGAACACUUGGUGACUUUCCGAUGGUUGACACAAAUCUUAACGGAUUUGCUAUGGAAAUAUCGUCAGCCAAGGAAACCACCAUGGACUCAUUAUUUGGAGAUGAAGGAGGAAUCGCUGAAACGCCACGGUAAUGAAGAUAUGUUAAAUGUUUGGCUUUACCGAUUUCAAACCAAAAGAAUAUCAACGCCAUGGACAGGUAUAAUUAACCAUGUUGUCUCCUACAGCAGGAGUGUUUGGGACGGAUUGAGAUGUAACAGAUGGAUCAAAUCCAAUGAUCUUCUUAGAAAAAGGCAUUUACUCACAAGAACUGAGAGCCACAAGAAAGCUCUUACAAGACCAAGAGUGAAGUGGAGAAAAGCUAGCGAAUCAGCAUAUCCUACGAAUGUGUUAGAAAGCAUCGUGUUACUGCUGUCUCUGUUAAAUGUUAUUCUUAACUACAUGUUUUGGUGUAUUUUAUGUUUCAUGUAAUAUGUUACAUUGAUUUGAAAUUAAUAAAGUUCAGAUGUUAUAAAAAAGAUUGAAGAUUGUAACAUGUUUAUAUCAUCCCAAGGUAUGUGUUUGUAUAUGCAAGAAACAGAUAGGUUAAAUUAUUAUUCUUAAUAAAUACUUUGGAAAAUAGCAUUUGCAGGAGCAUGAUUGAAAAUAUUUACCUAUAUGAGUGUGAAGUGAUGGUGCUUCAAAAAGCUGGGACUUGCCAUUGUAUACAUUCAUGAAUGGAUAUCACACGUAGCUUAUAAUAGUGUUGAGUAAACACUUAAAUAGUGUAGAAAAACAUGUGUGUAUUAUUUUCAUGUGCCUAAAAUGGAAUGAUGGAUUCAAUCCAUAUGACAUUUUGAUUUUCGUUCACUAAGAUGAACAAUUGCAGUUGUUUGUGAUUGUAACUAUCUAUUAAGGAGUGCUUUCUUUUUUCUUGGCUGCCACGUCAACGCCAGGUCAGAAAGUCGAAGAUCCUGGUAUCGAUACGUGUCCUGAAAACACAAAACGCAACAUUUCGUCGAGUCUUCAUUACGCAGCGCACCGUUUCAUUUAUUCUACUCUUUCUGUUUGUUGGGCUUAUUCAUUUGCCAUUAUUCAUUUGCAUGUGUAUCUUCGAGUGUUUUUUACGUAAUAGGCUUGGUGGCCCAUUAUCGAGCGUCAACCCUAACUGUUUCACAGGAGGAAUCUAGGUUCAGGUUUCGUCGCUCCUCUUCGUUACGCGGCGCACCUGUUCUGCUUCCAUGGUCUUUGAAACUACCCGAUUAAUGGCUUAUGAGUUUAAUUCCAUUUACUCUAUCGGCCACGAUGAAGUCUCUUGAAUGCUCUCUUCUUCAAAUCAUCUUUUUCUCCCAUCUCUUUUAGUAUACUAUUCAUGGUGAUAUGGCUAACUCGAAGGUGUUGUUCUCCGGCUUGAAGUUCGGUAAGUGUUCCUCCGUUGUCGAGGCUAGGUUGAUGCGAUUCUGGGAGGGCCAGAAAUGUCAAAUGUGGUGGGGAACUCAUGUGGGUUGAUCUGCUCAUGGUGAAUGUAAGUUAAUUUCCAGAUCUUGAUAAUUGUGCUUUCAAGUUAUUCCGGCGAUCUAUUAUAUGUUUGUUGAUACUGAUAUUUCUGAACAUGUAUGUCUCAGUCGACCAUAAUACAUGCCACCAUUAGAGCUAACCGGCUUCCAACAUUCCGCCGUAGACUCACCGCCGGUGCGAUGUAUUCAAUCUCAGAUUAUGGGAAACCAGAAAUGUUAAAGGUGGUGGCGAGUUGAUGGGUGUGAUAUGCUCCUCCUUAACGCUAAGGUUGUUCUAUUCUUCAAAACUCAUGAUCAUUUUAUUUUAAAACACAUUCAAGCGUAAAAUCUAAAAAAAAUAUUCUUUUUCAGUCAAAAUAUAUAUUUCACUCUUUAGGAGAUAGUUUCAAUUCUGUUUGUUGAUUUCAGAAAAAAAAUCAUCUUAUUUGUAUGACAUGGAUAGCGAUGAUGAGCAGUGCCUUGUGAGAAUUCAUGAGCGUUCUUAUGCUGAGAAUAGUGUUUCUUAUGAGAUCACUGAGGACAUGUUUGAGAAGGCUUCGUAUGUAAAGCAACUUGAUCACUUUACCUUAAUCUAAAUUCAAGAAAUGAUGGCCGGAGUUAGAUCCUUGGAAGCAAUGGAAACAAUAUAUGAGCUUUGAAGAACCAAGAGGCAGAUCAAGGGAAUGCCACUAAUCAGGCAUCUUCAGGUGCUAUUUAGAUCGGUAUGUACUUGGGUUGACCAUUAAAUACUCACUAUCUCUCAGCAUCCUGAGCGAAGGUGACCUCUGUCACUACCGAACUUUUUUGCCACUGUUAGUUUAUUUUACAUUUCAUUAUGUUUUCUAUGUUGUAUGAGAUAACUAUAUGGGUUUCGGUUUCAACAAGAGGCCAGUGAUGAUAAUGGAGAUGCAUGUGAACAUCUCAGGGCCUACUAAGGUUGACGUUGGUGGUAAUGAUUCGUGAGGAAUCACCAACUAUAGGAACAGCAGUACCAUCAUCUUCCAAGGUUGUCAAGAAGGCCCGAAUCGCAUAGGUGAAGAUCAUGGAAGUAUAUGGAUGCAGUAUUUGCUAUUUGAAUAAUGCCAAGGCAUCAAUUUUUUUCUCUUGUGCGGGUUGCUAUGUUUUUCAGACAGUCUUCAAAAGUUCUGCUUAAGUUUGAACUAAUAUAAAGAUAUUUAGCACAUGUACUUUGCUCUCCAAGUUUCAGUUUAUAUUCUCUGCAUA